AAUGAACGUUGGCGGCAUGGAUUAGGCAUGCAAGUCGAGCGAGAAGUGUAGCAAUACACGGAAAGCGGCGGAAGGGAGAGUAAUACGUGGGAAUCUGCCCUUAGACCUGGGAUAGCAGCGGGAAACUGCUGGUAAUACCAGAUAAUGUCUAUGGACCAAAGGUGUGAUUCCGUCUAGGGAUGAGCCCACGUCCUAUUAGCUAGUUGGUAGGGUAAUGGCCUACCAAGGCGAUGAUGGGUAGCGGGUGUGAGAGCAUGACCCGCCUCACUGGGACUGAGACACUGCCCAGACACCUACGGGUGGCUGCAGUCGAGAAUCUUCGGCAAUGGGCGCAAGCCUGACCGAGCGAUGCCGCGUGCGGGAUGAAGGCCUUCGGGUUGUAAACCGCUUUCGGAGGGGAGGAAAUCUAGGGGGGAUCACCCUUCUAGUUGACCUAUCCUAGGAAGAAGGACGGGCUAAGUUCGUGCCAGCAGCCGCGGUAACAC
rnacentral:rRNA from 1 species